CCCCCUUCUCUCAGCCCAGAAUCUGUAGAACCAAAAUGUAUCUCUUUUUCCUUUGCCUUCAUUUAACGUCGAAUUAGUCCUGUUUACAAUCUCCUGCCAUAGGGAGCCUGCUAGAAAGCGGGGCGGAUCCAGGCGAUGUCAGCCCCAGGCUGGGGUCCCCAUGCCUGUAAAUCUGGCUUCCUGGGGUAAACUGACGGCCUAGUUCCACCGUCUGUUUUUUGGCCUUGGAAAUGAUGACUAAAACCUGCAAAGGGACCCGACCUGACUUCAUGUCCUUGUUCUUAUUUAUUGGAAUACAGAGGUCAAAACCUAUUGCCUUGUGCUGUGAGGAGGGGCUAAUUUUUUUUUUUCAGUGAUCUCUGAUUUUAUCGUUUCUUGACAAAAAUGAGUCAAUACCUGAGAUUCAAAAAUCCAGAAUGAAGCGUCCCUGUUCUGAGACCUGGUUUUUCUCAUAAUGAGAUCCUGUCCUACCUUUAACUAAAAUACCCCACCUGCUUGUCUGGGACAAGCAGCUGAUUUUCACACAGUGCCCUUUGUCAACUUCCUUAGCCAUCACUACAGCCUCUGCUGACACUACCGAAAACCUCUUUUGUGACAUCAGCCUAAUCUGUAUUUCAUGUCAUACCCUCUACAUUUCGCCUUCCCUGCAACCUGCAAUUGAGCGACCUUAAAGAGGAAGUCCGUUUUAGCUUGGCCCCUUCUGUCGGGGAAUGAGAAAUGGAAAGGAUUUUGUUGUUGUUGUUGCUUUCCUUUGCUGAUUUCCUUAUUCCUUAUUGCUUACGUGGCAGGAGUGAGACCCCCAGAAAGGGAUAAACAGCAGCGGGGAACGUAUCCGGACAGAUGGCUGCUGGGGACAGAACCAAGUUGCGUCUUGAGGCCACAGCCAACUCUUCUGUACCCUGCCACUUUCUCCAUGAUCCCUCUCCUCCCCAGGGAUGAGAAUCAACCCAGUCAAUAUUAGUAUGGUCCCAGAGCAGAAAAGCAGAACGCAGGGCCAAGAUAAAUUCAGUGAACGAGCAGACUCUUUGACAAGAACAAAGGUGAAAAGUGAUUGCUCGAGAAG